GAGCCCGUAGCUCAGUUGGUAGAGCAGCGGCCUUUUAAGCCGUUGGCCGAGCGUUCGAGUCGCUCCGGGCUCA
rnacentral:tRNA from 1 species